rnacentral:lncRNA from 1 species
GCUCACAGGAAGAAGGGACUUGCCUUGUCCCAGAUGAGACUUUGGGCUUGGACUUUUGAGUUAAUGCUGGAAUGAGGGGCUUCCCCCUUUGCUGGGCACUCAUUCUUCUCCUUCCUGCUGCCAUGUGAAGAAGGAUGUGUUUGCUUCUCCUUCUGCCAUGAUUGUGCUGCUGCUGAGCCAGGAGAAAAGAAGUGUCCAAGUCAGUGCCCUCAGAGAUCCAGCUGACUUCAAGAGGGCUGAGGUCCACCGCGGGCCACCAGCAUCAGGAAGGAGACAGCUUUGCAGUGAUUCCACCUGCUACGUGCUGGGAGGCACUGGCUGACUCCAAAGCACACAGCAAUUUCAGCUUGGCCCACGGCAGCAAACAGCUGUGCCAAUGCCCUUCCUAAUGAGAAUAAGGCAAGGCCUAGCCUGUAAUCCACCCCUCUGCAGAAACCAAUCAUUCCUCCUCAUUACCGAGCGAAAAAAUGCCUCUCAAGGCUCCUUCUCCUCCUUACAAACAAAAUAAAACAAAUCCUUCCUAUGGA